rnacentral:rRNA from 1 species
UGCUCCUGGUGGCGAGUGGCGAACGGGUGAGUAAUGCGUCGGAACGUACCGAGUAAUGGGGGAUAACGCAGCGAAAGCUGUGCUAAUACCGCAUACGCCCUGAGGGGGAAAGCAGGGGAUCGCAAGACCUUGCGUUAUUCGAGCGGCCGACGUCUGAUUAGCUAGUUGGUGGGGUAAUGGCUCACCAAGGCGACGAUCAGUAGCGGGUCUGAGAGGAUGAUCCGCCACACUGGAACUGAGACACGGUCCAGACUCCUACGGGAGGCAGCAGUGGGGAAUUUUGGACAAUGGGGGAAACCCUGAUCCAGCCAUUCCGCGUGAGUGAAGAAGGCCUUCGGGUUGUAAAGCUCCUUCAGCUGGAAAGAAACGGUACGCACUAACAUUGUGUGCUAAUGACGGUACCAGCAGAAGAAGCACCGGCUAACUACGUGCCAGCAGCCGCGGUAAUACGUAGGGUGCGAGCGUUAAUCGGAAUUACUGGGCGUAAAGCGUGCGCAGGC